rnacentral:lncRNA from 1 species
UAGGUGUCACAUAGCAUGUUGCAUAGUGAUUGGUUCUUCUGAUGAGGUGGCAUGACGUUGCAUUGGUUUCUUUGAUGAGAUGAUGUGGUCGGCUCCUUAUGCUUAACUUCAUCCUGGUUGGCGUGCUUCCAUUGGUUGAAGUGGUGGUGAGGUGGCCAGCUGAUGUUGAUGUGGAUGCCGAGGUGGUGCUCCAAGGGUGUGCAAAGAUGGUGGUAGAAACAUGCAAGGUGGUGGU